UCAGGGCUAGGGGGCCCUGAAGCAGGGUCUGGAAAAGGGGGAUGGGGUGUGGGUGGUACGGGAUGCAACCCCCCCAAAAGAUAUCGAGAUAAAAUAGAAAUAAUCACUUAUAAUGCCCAAACGCAAAACCUGAAAAGAGAGAGACAUGCAUAUAUUUGUCUAAAAACGGGAGAAAAAAACGGGAAAAAAAGGCACCCAUGAAAAUCCAGGCAAAAGCAUAUACAUUGAGGUCUAACCACGAACGAUAAAGGUGGAAGGAAAAGACUUUUCUGCUUGGAACACCCAGACACACAGCUUAUUUCCUUAAUAAAUGAAGAGCUGUUGGAAACCAACAAGGGAAAAGACCAAACCAAGCCAAAAAAAUUAAACUAAAAAACAAAAAUAGAUGGGCAAAAGAGACCGAACUGACAAUUCACGGGAAAAUGCAAAUGUCUGGGACAUCUAUGGAGGAAGAAUCAUGAACUGACUCUCUGCGUAGCGAGAUGCCAACCGAGACACCGGGUGAAGGGGGUUUAUGGCAGCGCACUGAUUCGCGUGCUACCCCCGCGCUAUCACCCGCCGCCUUCCACACAGACCUUCUAACGCAUGAAUCCACUGCAGUGCCUCUUAGUAAAAUAACAAGAAAUUGCAAGAAGAGGAAAGUGUGAGUAGCAAGCCUGCCUCUGAUAGAAGAAAUGCCUAUAGAACCCAGAAAAUAACGAGGUAGCACCGCCUUACUACAAUUAAAGGACCACUAUCUUAAUAGAUCCAAUGAAAUAACACAUUGCUGAAGUUUGUAGAGAUGAAAUGUGUACUGUGGCGUUUUUCUGAAGCUACAAGAGCAGCUGGUGACCCUACAACAGACUGAAGGCUUGUGCAGGUGUGUGCAUAAGCAUGACACGACGGAAGUGAGAAAGUCAGAGGACAACUUGCAGGAGU